GAUGAACGCUGGCGGCGUGCCUAAUACAUGCAAGUCGAGCGAACAGAUGAGAAGCUUGCUUCUCUGAUGUUAGCGGCGGACGGGUGAGUAACACGUGGGUAACCUACCUCUAAGACUGGGAUAACUCUGGGAAACCGGGGCUAAUACCGGCUAAUAUUUUGAACCGCAUGGUUCAAUAGUGAAUGGCGGUUUCGGCUGUCACUUAUAGAUGGAUCCGCGCCGUAUUAGCUAGUUGGUAGGGUAACGGCUUACCAAGGCGACGAUACGUAGCCGACCUGAGAGGGUGAUCGGCCACACUGGAACUGAGACACGGUCCAGACUCCUACGGGAGGCAGCAGUAGGGAAUCUUCCGCAAUGGGCGAAAGCCUGACGGAGCAACGCCGCGUGAGUGAUGAAGGUCUUCGGAUCGUAAAACUCUGUUGUUAGGGAAGAACAAAUUUGUUAGUAACUGAACAAGUCUUGACGGUACCUAGCCAGAAAGCCACGGCUAACUACGUGCCAGCCGCCGCAGUAA
rnacentral:rRNA from 1 species